GGCGCACGGGUGAGUAAUGCGUGGGUAAUCUUCCUCAGAGCGUGGGAUAACCAGUCGAAAGAUUGGCUAAUACCACAUAAGACCACAGGAUCUGCGGAUCUAGGGGUAAAAGGUUUUUCGCUUUGAGAUGAGCCCGCGUGGGAUUAGCUAGUUGGUAGGGUAACGGCCUACCAAGGCUUCGAUCUCUAACUGGUCUAAGAGGAUGAUCAGUCACACUGGAACUGAGACACGGUCCAGACUCCUACGGGAGGCAGCAGUAGGGAAUAUUGCACAAUGGAGGAAACUCUGAUGCAGCGACGCCGCGUGAGUGAUGAAGGACUUCGGUUCGUAAAGCUCUGUUGCAGGGGAAAAAUAAAAUGAUGGUACUCUGCGAGAAAGGGUCGGCUAACUUCGUGCCAGCAGCCGCGGUAAGACGAGGGACCCUAGCGUUGUUCGGAAUCAUUGGGCGUAAAGCGGGUGCAGGUUGCUUUGUAAGUCAGGUGUGAAAGCCCGGGGCUUAACCUCGGAAGUGCAUUUGAUACUGCGAAGCUUGAGUGUGGGAGAGGUAAGUAGAAUUCCUGGUGUAGUGGUGAAAUACGUAGAUAUCAGGAGGAAUACCGGAGGCGAAGGCGGCUUACUGGCCCAACACUGACACUCAUACCCGAAAGCGUGGGGAUCAAACAGGAUUAGAUACCCUGGUAGUCCACGCCAUAAACGAUGGAUACUUGUUGUUAGAGGUAUUGACCCCUUUAGUGACGAAGCUAACGCGUUAAGUAUCCCGCCUGGGGAGUACGGUCGCAAGAUUAAAACUCAAAGAAAUUGACGGGGGC
rnacentral:rRNA from 1 species